rnacentral:lncRNA from 1 species
UCACUCAGUCAUCAAUCUCUCAAGACUCUAAGACUCUUAAUAGUAUGAAAUAUCAUCACAAAAAUAAUGAUGUGAUACAAUAAUAAAUAGUAACAUAGUGUAUGAUUGAGUAUGAAUGCAAUGAAAGCAGAUAGCUCAACAACAGAAAUGAUCUCGAUAGGUCCCAACAGGAUAAGCAUGGAUCACAGCUCAAUAGCUCAAGUACGUAAAAAUUUCAUGGUUACAGGCAAGAUCAGGUAACUACAUACUAUAGAAAUAACAGAGACAGAAUUCAAAUGGUGCAGGCCGACGCACUCGUCACCUCAAUACCAAUCACAUAUCACGUAAUUCGUAGUUUCAUACGCUCAACACUAAGCUUAGAGGUGUUACUCGCCUCAAAUGAGCCAAUUCCAAUACCAAGCACCCAAGCAAUGCUCCAAAAAUUCCAUCCUGCACAUUUCGUCCAGAGAAACUAAUCAAAAACAACUUAAAUACAUCAAACAAUGCUAAAGGAACCAAUUCAAUUCGAAAAAGGUCAAAUCUUAAAUCAAACGUCCAAUCGGUCCCACGCCUCGGAACCUGAUAAAACUCAAAAAAAUCUGACAGCCCAUUCAAUUACAAGUAAAACCAUACUAGUUUCACUCAAAUCCGACUCCAAAUCGUCAAAAAAUCACAUUAUGAAAUUUUAGACUAAAACUCUCAAUUUCUCUUUAAAAUUCAUCAACCAAUUGUCAAAAAUGAAGAUAGAUUCAUGGAAUAAGAUCAAAAUGAAGUGUAGAAUACUUCUACCAAUACUUGUUUCGAAAAUUGCUCCAAAAUCGCCUUAAUCCAACUCCCACAUCUCAAAAUAUGAUAAAAUAACCAAAAUGUCGAUUUAUAGCAUUCUGCCCAGCAUUUUCACAUUUGCGAACCACAUUCUUGCUUCUGCGGACAUGCAUAUGCGGACAAAUCUUCGCUUCUACGAACAAACCAACUCAACUGCCAUCACUCUUGCGGAACAUCACUUCUCACAUGCGCACACGCAGGUGCGGACCUACCAUCCACUUGUGCCAAACCUCGCUCCUACGCUCCAAGGCGGCCGCUUCCGCAUGUACGAUCCACUUCUCGUAUGUAUUAGUACCUUAUCCUAGUUCCUCAUCUGCUCUUGCGACACUUCUGCCGCUUUUGCGGCUCCGCACCUACGCCCAUAACUCCGUCGGUACAGUCACACCAGAACCUUCCACAACCAACAAUGAAAACAAGAAGGAAAAUGAUCUGAAAUCAAUCUGAACCAUGCAUGAGCCCAUCGGGACCACGUCCGGACAUUCCAACAAGGCCCAUGACACAACACGGACCUACUCGGGGCCUCAAAUCACACAUAACAACAUCUAAACAAUGAAUCGCACCUCAAAUUGAAAUCUAUGAACUUUGCACUUUCAAUUUCGAUAACUUACGCCGAAACAUAGUAAAUCAAUCUGGAAUGAACUUAAAUUUUGCACAAGUCCCGAAUUAUAUAAUGAAGCUAUUUCAAUUUUCAAGCCGAUAUCAAAAAUUUCACUCCCGAUCAAACUUUUCAAAAAUUAAACUUUCGCCAUUUCAAUCCAAAUUCAACUACAAACCUCCAAAUCACAAUCCGGACGUACUAGUAAGUCAAAAAUCACUCAAUGAACUAAUGGAAUCAUCAAAACUCCAAUCCGGGGUCAAAUACUAGAAAGUCAAACUUUGUCAACUCUUCCAAUUUAAAGCUUCCUAGUUGAGAAUCAUCCUUCCAAACCGAUUCCGAGUAACCUGAAAAUAAAAACUGACAAAUCACACAAGUUAAAAUAAAUAAAACUAUGCUAGUCAAUACCUCAAACAGUUGAACGGGAUAGGAAUGCUCGAAACGACUGGUUGGGUCGUUAUAACCGAACAUAGAGAACGAGGUUCUCAAUCUAUUCCCAGAGUAAAUAAACGGAAAGUAAAAUCAAAUAACAUAGGGAAUCAGGUUCUCAAUCGAUUCCCACAGUAAAUAUAUAAUAUAUAAAGAAUAAAUGAUAUUCACGUAGAAAACUGCUUGCUCAAGCAAUUAAAAACUAUGACAUACCCUAUGAGGAUUUCAACUCUACUAAACCAAGCAAACUUUAAAUAAAAACCUAUUACAAUCUAGGAAUUAAACUCUUAAUCACUCACCCAUUACAAUAACUCUACUGUAAGCCCUUUGCAAUACUCUAUUACAAAGCAACAAAACUUGACUAACUCUAGUCAAGAAACCAAACAAUAGUUGAAAUCAGUCGUACAAAGACACUUCUUGAAAGUAGUUUAGGAUUACAAAUGAAAAAUAAAAUGACAAAGACUCAACAAACCUAGUGACUUAAAUUAUCUUCACUCUCUAGAUCGAGUUCUUGAGAUUGUAGCAGCAUUGUUUAUGAGAGAUGUAGUGGCUAGUACUUGAGAGAAUAUGGUUUCUGGAAUUUGCACAUGUUGAAUGAAAUCCCUUGCUGCAUGUUUAUAAUAUAUGAGUGAGGUCACG